rnacentral:misc_RNA from 1 species
GGCGCUGUAUUCGGGCGA